UGGCCUUGGGGUCUUGCUCAGCUCAUAACCUCACAUCACUGUCUCCCUCUUCUCAUCUUACUUCCUCAGCCAGGCAAGCUGACCGAGGCCUUCAAGUACUUCCUGCAAAGCAUGGGCUACAUGGCCUCAUCCUGCAUGACUCGCCUGUCCCGAUCUCGCACAGCUUCCCUGACCAGUGCAGCAUCCAUUGACGGCAGCGGGUCCCACGUUCAAACCUUGUCCCAGAGCAGCGAGUCUGGGACUCUCCCUUCAGGGACCCCAGGGCACACCAUGGAGGUCUCCUGUUGAAUGGCCCUUAUAGUCCUGGUGUGGGACCCAGCCUCACCUCCCCUAACACUAAACUGGGAGGUAUGUAGAACACUGGGCCAGAGUGAACAAGGGAAGACAGGCAGAUCAUGUGGGAAGAUGACCUUGAUCUUUGAU